rnacentral:rRNA from 1 species
UGUAAACGAUGUCGAUUUGGAGUUUGGGGGCAUGACCCUUGGGCUCCGGAGCUAACGCGUUAAAUCGACCGCUGGGGAGUACGGCCGCAAGGUUAAAACUCAAAUGAAUUGACGGGGGCCCGCACAAGCGGUGGAGCAUGUGGUUUAAUUCGAUGCAACGCGAAGAACCUUACCUGGUCUUGACAUCCAUAGAAUCUUUCAGAGAUGAGAGAGUGCCUUCGGGAGCUAUGAGACAGGUGCUGCAUGGCUGUCGUCAGCUCGUGUUGUGAAAUGUUGGGUUAAGUCCCGCAACGAGCGCAACCCCUAUCCUUUGUUGCCAGCACGUAAUGGUGGGAACUCAAAGGAGACUGCCGUUGAUAAAGCGGAGGAAGGUGGGGACGACGUCAAGUCAUCAUGGCCCUUACGACCAGGGCUACACACGUGCUACAAUGGCGUAUACAAAGGGAUGCGAAGGUGCGAACUGGAGCGGACCUCACAAAGUACGUCUAAGUCCGGAUUGGAGUCUGCAACUCGACUCCAUGAAGUCGGAAUCGCUAGUAAUCGUGAAUCAGAAUGUCACGGUGAAUACGUUCCCGGGCCUUGUACACACCGCCCGUCACACCAUGGGAGUGGGUUGCACCAGAAGUAGAUAGCUUAACCUUCGGGAGGGCGUUUACCACGGUGUGGUUCGUGACUGGGGUGAAGUCGUAACAAGGUAACCA